rnacentral:rRNA from 1 species
UACGUAGGGGGCAAGCGUUGUCCGGAAUUAUUGGGCGUAAAGAGCGCGUAGGCGGUCCGAUAAGUCGGCUGUGAAAGUCAGGGGCUCAACCCUUGGAAGCCGGCCGAUACUGUCGGACUAGAGUCCGGAAGAGGCGAGUGGAAUUCCCGGUGUAGCGGUGAAAUGCGUAGAGAUCCGGAGGAACACCGAAGGCGAAGGCAGUGUCCUGGCGAGUAUCCUGACGCUGAGGUGCGAAAGCCAGGGGAGCGAACGGG